CGCCCCUCGCGCGGCGUCACCCUGUGAACCUCCCCAGGGCCGGAAGGCAGCAAGGAUAAGCGGGCUCUGUCGGGUGCGCGAGGGGUCUCU
rnacentral:SRP_RNA from 1 species